CGUCGUGAGGCGGAGUCUGAAAGAAGUCGGAUGUGGGGACUGAAAAGAGUCCCUGCGGGCAAAACCUCGGUCUGACGAACAGAAACUACAUAUAAGGCACUUUGAAAUGGACGAGUUUGCGCAACAAAACAAAGUCCGAUACUGCCCGAGUUUCAAGGUGUAAAUGUAGCAGAUAUAUGAGGUGAAAGUGAU
rnacentral:ncRNA from 1 species